CAAGUUUGUGGAAUUUCUAUCUCUCGUUGUUGGUGAAUUUUUUUGAAGGAAAACAUUACUUGUUCCUAAUUUCUUUAUUCGAGCUACUAGUGUAGAAAAUGAGAUCGAAAUUUGUGGAAAUUUUAGACUCUUCUUCAUCCAUAAACAAACAUUUCUUCACUUAUAUUUUUGACCUUUGCUCCACAAAUUUUCGACCGGUUAGUUUUCGAAACAUGAAAUCUCGUAUGCAAAGAGUACUAUAUAGACAUAUUUCUCGCGUUUAUACCUUUUUUUCCUUGUAAUGUGCAUACUUCUUGUAGAAUUUUCUAGCUCGAGUACGAGUAAAGCGAGAUCAGACCUUGUGUACGUAUUACUAAUGAUAUGUUGUCUUUUUUUCGGCAUCAGGAUGAGUUCUCAUCAAACCCUAAUGCCAACACCCCUUCUCCACCACCUUCACAGAGCUUGUUGAUGUUCAACAACCAGAUCAACGAUUUCGAGUUCCAGUCCGCUGCUCGAUUUGCACCGGAUCAUCAUCAACAUCUCGAGCUCCCUAGGCCCCCAUUGGUUGUCAACAGACGUAAGCUCAUCGAUCGGACCGGACUCCAUCCUUCACUAAUUCUUGUUAAUUUUACCCCCUAAAUUAUGAAAUUAUUGUGUUGGUAAUUAAUUUGAUGCAGCUCCUGAGAAGAGACAGAGAGUCCC
rnacentral:lncRNA from 1 species